AUGACUUCUCGCUGCAGCUGAGGAGGGAAUUGGAGAAGAAUGCUGAGAAAAACUAAGUAACUAAUUUGUGUUGUCUCUCAGUAUUAGCAUAUGUAAUGGAGUAUCAAUUAGUAGUUUGAGCACAAGAUGUUCUUUCCAUGUGCUUAGCAUGGAGAAGAUUGUGUGAACUAUUAAGAUCAUUUAGUUCAGUUCAAAAAGUUCUGGAACUUCAGACUUUUAUUUUCUACAACUUCGACUUUACGUGCUAGGGUUUUGUGCUUGAAUGGGUUGCCUCAUAGGACCAUGUUAAAUUCCUCCGUUUGUGUAGUACGUUUAUGAAUAACAUGCUAUCAUGGUGAGUUGAUGAUGGUAUCCCACUCGAGCGGUUGAGCCAACAUCUUGACAUUGGGAGAACAGUCCUUUUCUGCCAUGGUGAUGGAAUGCUGUGGCCUUGCAACAUACAAUGGAAAGUGAUUCUUUGUUUUUGUGGUGGUGC
rnacentral:misc_RNA from 1 species